rnacentral:misc_RNA from 1 species
GUAUCAAAAUUUAUUGCCCAAACCAUCAUACAUUCAAUCAAGUGUGUGUGGAAUAAACAUAGACUCGAUUCCUCGAGCCUACAAAGAGUGCACAAGGGGGUGAGUGGGAGAAGAAGAAAAUCACCAAGGAGUGCACAUGCCCAUUUGAAAAAGGCCAGCAAGCAUCCAAGGUUUGCUUUCUCAGUAAUGAUCCUUCCGCAGGUUCACCUACGGAAA